AGCUUCAGUGUGUCUCGUCUGAGCCACGAUCCUAUCGAAAAGCUCGCCUCCAGAACAAAGCUCCAACACGAGGUGAACCCCGUUCGAAUCUUCAUACACGUCGUAAAGAUCAAUCACAUUUUCAUGAGGAACCAUGGAAGUCACACUCUUGAGAGCAUUUCGAUUUGGUGGACAUCCCAUGAAAGCUGAUGGUCCAAUUCUUCUUAGUGUUUUAAUAGCUACUUCCUUUUUCUCUCUUCUGGACUUACUGAUACCUUUCCUGACUACUGAGAAUCCUCCUCUCCCUAUAACGUCCGAUAUCUCAUACUCGUCGGAGAGUUUUCGAGCUUGCUGUAUCAUUUUCGCUCGAAAAUUUGAUGAAGAAACCACCCAGGAGGGUGAAGAGAAGGAAUCUGGGAAUAUUUGGUGGAAGAAAAUUGAUAAGGAAGAGGACAAGAGGUAGUUGAAUGAUGAGAGAAAAGGAAGAGGAUUGGAAUGAGGGACUUACAUCAUGAGAGUUGUGGAUUAGUUAUUAAAAUUUGGAUUGAAAAAUGAGGCAUUUUAGGGAAUAAAGAAAGGAGAAUAGGAGUUGGGGAAGAAAGACAAAACAAAGUCAAUGUUUAACACUUCCCUCUGUUCGUAAUUUAUUCAUUAUUAGAUGCGAAGAUUUGAAGAUCGAAGUUGAGAUUGUUUCAUA